rnacentral:rRNA from 1 species
CAGCAGUAGCCGCGGGAAUACGUAGGUGGCAAGCGUUGUCCGGAAUUAUUGGGCGUAAAGGGCUCGCAGGCGGUUUCUUAAGUCUGAUGUGAAAGCCCCCGGCUCAACCGGGGAGGGUCAUUGGAAACUGGGAAACUUGAGUGCAGAAGAGGAGAGUGGAAUUCCACGUGUAGCGGUGAAAUGCGUAGAGAUGUGGAGGAACACCAGUGGCGAAGGCGACUCUCUGGUCUGUAACUGACGCUGAGGAGCGAAAGCGUGGGGAGCGAACAGGAUUAGAUACCCGUGUAGUCCCUGUCUCUUAUAC